rnacentral:rRNA from 1 species
AGAGUUUGAUCCUGGCUCAGAUUGAACGCUGGCGGCAGGCCUAACACAUGCAAGUCGAGCGGUAGAGAGAAGCUUGCUUCUCUUGAGAGCGGCGGACGGGUGAGUAAUGCCUAGGAAUCUGCCUGGUAGUGGGGGAUAACGUUCGGAAACGGACGCUAAUACCGCAUACGUCCUACGGGAGAAAGCAGGGGACCUUCGGGCCUUGCGCUAUCAGAUGAGCCUAGGUCGGAUUAGCUAGUUGGAGAGGUAAUGGCUCACCAAGGCGACGAUCCGUAACUGGUCUGAGAGGAUGAUCAGUCACACUGGAACUGAGACACGGUCCAGACUCCUACGGGAGGCAGCAGUGGGGAAUAUUGGACAAUGGGCGAAAGCCUGAUCCAGCCAUGCCGCGUGUGUGAAGAAGGUCUUCGGAUUGUAAAGCACUUUAAGUUGGGAGGAAGGGUUGUAGAUUAAUACUCUGCAAUUUUGACGUUACCGACAGAAUAAGCACCGGCUAACUCUGUGCCAGCAGCCGCGGUAAUACAGAGGGUGCAAGCGUUAAUCGGAAUUACUGGGCGUAAAGCGCGCGUAGGUGGUUUGUUAAGUUGGAUGUGAAAUCCCCGGGCUCAACCUGGGAACUGCAUUCAAAACUGACUGACUAGAGUAUGGUAGAGGGUGGUGGAAUUUCCUGUGUAGCGGUGAAAUGCGUAGAUAUAGGAAGGAACACCAGUGGCGAAGGCGACCACCUGGACUAAUACUGACACUGAGGUGCGAAAGCGUGGGGAGCAAACAGGAUUAGAUACCCUGGUAGUCC